rnacentral:rRNA from 1 species
CCUACGGGAGGCAGCAGUAGGGAAUCAUCCGCAAUGGACGAAAGUCUGACGGUGCAACGCCGCGUGAGUGAUGAAGGUUUUCGGAUCGUAAAGCUCUGUUGUGAGGGAAGAACAAGGGCGGUUCUAACAGGGCCGCCCCCUGACGGUACCUCACCAGAAAGCCCCGGCUAACUACGUGCCAGCAGCCGCGGUAAU